AAUCCAUAGGUUAAUGAGGCGAACCGGGGGAACUGAAACAUCUAAGUACCCCGAGGAAAAGAAAUCAACCGAGAUUCCCCCAGUAGCGGCGAGCGAACGGGGAGGAGCCCAGAGCCUGAAUCAGCAUGUGUGUUAGUGGAAGCGUCUGGAAAGGCGCGCGAUACAGGGUGACAGCCCCGUACACAAAAGCGCAUGUGCUGUGAGCUCGAUGAGUAGGGCGGGACACGUGGUAUCCUGUCUGAAUAUGGGGGGACCAUCCUCCAAGGCUAAAUACUCCUGACUGACCGAUAGUGAACCA
rnacentral:rRNA from 1 species